rfam:Paenibacillus sp. FSL H7-0331 NODE_11_length_270862_cov_1.04484_ID_12091, whole genome shotgun sequence.
ACAACAAAAAUUUAGGACCCUUCGCAGGGUCCUAAACAAUGGGAGAGGAGAAACCGGAUGAAGAGCUUAUGGGGAACGUAAGUCUUCUCCGCGG